ACUCGCGCUCUAUGUCGUCGCGCCGAAGGGCUUCCUGCCGUUACAGGAUACGGCCUCGAUCACCGCGGUGACGGAAGCCGGCACCGAGGGNNNNNAUGCAGUUGCGGCAGAGCCAGAUCGCCGAUGCCAUCAAGGCCGAUCCCGACAUCGUCGGCGUCGUCUCGGUGAUCGGCGCGGGCUCGGUGAACCCUACCACGAAUGUCGGGCGUCUCGUUUUGACGCUGAAGCCGCGCGGCGAGCGCAAGACCGACAUCGCCGUGGUUGUCGACCGGCUGAAGCAGCGCGUCGCCGCCGUUCCCGGCAUGACGGUCUACUUCCAGGCGGUGCAGGACGUUCAGAUCAGCACGCGGUCGAGCCGGUGGCAGGAUCAGUACACGCUGACCGCCCCCGAC
rnacentral:misc_RNA from 1 species